CUUUUAUAAAUCAACAUUUUUAUGCCCCCUGGCUGUCAAUCUGACAACUGUUCCUGUUACUUCCUAGUUGAUUAGCUCAGUUGAAUUCAAGAGACAUGCAAUUGGAAAAAAUACUUCUCACUGAGCUGCACUGCUGAGCUGAAAAUGCUGUUUUCAGUUUAACACAUUUAUUUCAGUGAACACUGUAGACCCCUAAUGUAUCUGCUGUAGUGCUCUAUUGCUAGAAAGUG